UUUGAGUCUUUAAAAUUAUAAUUUUAUUUCAAAUAAAUACUAAAUUACACGUCACUCACAUGAAUAUCAACAGAUGUUAAAUCUUUAACUUGCCGUUAAUGGAUCCCACCAAAAACGAUCUUUCCCUUUUCCUUCUCUCUCUUCCCGUUAGUCUGUCGCCUGUCGUCUCUGGCCAUUUUUCUUUCUCGCUUGCAAGGCAUUGAAACUUCAAUCUUCUCUCCAAUCUCUCACCCUGCAGUUCACUAAACCCAGGGCUUCCAUCAACGACUCAUAAGCAGAACUCUAAGGAAAUCUGAGUUUGCCUUAUUUGAACCAGGAACUUGUGUUGCAUGGAAGAUUAAACCGGCUUGUUAGGUCAUGUAAUUGACCAUCUCAACAUCGUUGAGAAGAAAAAAUUGAAAGGACCAAGCCCGCUCAAAUGAAUUGAAGAUGCUCGAGAUUGGUCUUACAAUGAAAAAA
rnacentral:misc_RNA from 1 species